UACGGAGGGUGCGAGCGUUGUCCGGAAUCAUUGGGCGUAAAGGGCGCGUAGGUGGCCCCUCAAGCGGGCGGUGAAAGUCGGGGGCUCAACCCCCGAUCGGCCGUGCGAACUGGGGGGCUGGAGCACUGUAGAGGCAGGCGGAAUUCCGGGUGUAGCGGUGGAAUGCGUAGAGAUCCGGAAGAACACCGGUGGCGAAGGCGGCCUGCUGGGC
rnacentral:rRNA from 1 species